UACAGAGGGUGCGAGCGUUGUUCGGAAUUACUGGGCGUAAAGCGCACGUAGGCGGCUUUGUAAGUCAGAGGUGAAAGCCCGGAGCUUAACUCCGGAAUUGCCUUUGAGACUGCAUCGCUUGAAUCCAGGAGAGGUGAGUGGAAUUCCGAGUGUAGAGGUGAAAUUCGUAGAUAUUCGGAAGAACACCAGUGGCGAAGGCGGCUCACUGGACUGGUAUUGACGCUGAGGUGCGAAAGCGUGGGGAGCAAACAGG
rnacentral:rRNA from 1 species